AAAAUGGGUGGCACCAUAUCCAAAGUAUGAAUAUGGGUGGUGGGAACCCUUCUUGCCUGCUGAAUCUAAAGAAUCAAAAGUACAGAGCACUUAACCUUUUCAUUUUGGCUAGUUUUUAACUCAUCUUUUGUUUUCUUUUUCUUUUUACCACUUUCAAAUUUGUGAGGAAUUUUUUUAAUGCACUAGCAACUGGCAGCCUAAGCUGCUGUUUUCAGC
rnacentral:misc_RNA from 1 species